rnacentral:misc_RNA from 1 species
UAAGAAGUGAGCAAGCAAGUUUCUACCAAAAGUUUUGAAAAAUUAGUUGUUUAAAUAGUGAAAAUCAGCAAAUUGGAUGGAGUUAGGAGCGAGAGCUUAACCUGCCAAAGAUACGAGAAUUUCCCCGAGUUGCUUUCAAUAAACGGUCACGUUGUUAAAAUAUAUUAAUAUGUAUUCCUCCCUCCUGGAGCGCAACUCAUUCCAGUCCGCAAUCUCUCUACGACGACGGAGAGGGUGCGAAGAAGUCAAAAUGUAAACCCAGCCUGUUUACCAUUCAGUCAACCCAGAAAUAGCUCCCAGACCAGCCGUCUCGACAUUAACCCUCGCUGGUCAAAGGUUUACGAGU